rnacentral:lncRNA from 1 species
GUUUAAUUUCUAUUCUAUUAAAGAAUUUUCAUGCUUCCCUCACAUCCAAUUCACCUCUUUUUGCUAUAAUUUUUUCAAUACAAUCAUAGUGACAAAUAAUAUCUUUUAAUAGAAAUUAACAUACAUCUUCAAUAUUCUUUAUUUUUAAUGCUCAUCUUUCAACCAUAUUUGAUAAAUCUUUUCCUGCAAGUAUCAAAUACUUCAUUUGUCCAAGUUCUAUAGACAUUGCCACUAAAUCCACUACCUACUUAUAAUGUA